rnacentral:rRNA from 1 species
UACGAAGGGUGCAAGCGUUAAUCGGAAUUACUGGGCGUAAAGCGUGCGCAGGCGGUUUUGUAAGUCUGUCGUGAAAGCCCCGGACUCAACCUGGGAAUUGCGAUGGAGACUGCAAGGCUUGAAUCUGGCAGAGGGGGGUAGAAUUCCACGUGUAGCAGUGAAAUGCGUAGAGAUGUGGAGGAACACCGAUGGCGAAGGCAGCCCCCUGGGUCAAGAUUGACGCUCAUGCACGAAAGCGUGGGGAGCAAACAGG